UCGAUCCUUCAAGUCCACUGAAAACCAUUCUUUUGAUCCUCCAAAUAGCUGUAAAUGGUGCCAAAAAUCCCUCUACUAUAAUGUAUGGAAGUGUUUUCAAGCAAAGGAGAAGAGAUGGAGGAGAGCGAGAUCGAAAAGGGGGGAAACGGGGCUCAGUUCGACUUUUUAUACCCCUAUCGGUUAGAGAUACAUGUAACAUAUAUCAGUACCUAUACAACCCGUAUUGGCUGAUACAGGCCAAUACGCCACAAUACGUGGUCCUUUUUCGUAUCAAGUUGGUACAACCCUGUAUCGUGUAUCGUAUUAAGCCAAUACCGAUACAAUAUGGGUGUAUCGGCUGAUACGAUACCCUUUUUUUGAACCAUGUGGCUCACUCUUCACAUGAUCACAAUUCUCUAAGGUAAAAGAUUUCCACGCAUGAUUCCUUGAGACUCUAGGCCAUUGAGCAGUUUGAUCACGGAUCAUAUGAAAAUAAAGGUGGAGAUUAACAUGCGAAUAAAGGUGGAGCUUAACGUGAUCAAGAUGCUCCUUGCACCAGACUCCUCAUGUUGAAAAAAACUUGUGUUUGAGUUUUUUUUUCCUAAAAAGCCCACGAACCAAGAUGAUGAUAAAGCACUUGUAGCUAUUAAUGGAUGGUGGAGGUGAUAGAUGUAAUGACAGUGGUGGUGGGUAGUCAAUGACAGCGGUGACAAUGUGACGGUCGUUAUUAAUGUUGUUGAUGUUGUUGGAGCAGUGGUCAGUGAUGAUCAAGCCGAUCUCUUCGGGCUCCUUGCCAAAGAUUGGGCCUUUGCUAAGAUGUUGAAGGUGAUGGUGCUGACAAGGAGUGGUGGUGAUGGUGAGGAUGGUGGAUGAUGAAGAUGGAGAUGAUGGAAAAGUGAUGUAGACAAACAUGUACCUGGAUCAAGCGUGACUUUGUUCUGAUACCACCUGAUGGCGAUCAUUUUGUUGAUGGACUGUGGUAAAUAGUGAUUAUCACACGUGUGGCCCAUGUCACAUGGAGAUUAUGGUUUUCGUUGUUUCAUUUCAUUAUUUUUGUUGUUUAGUCCUUAAGGUGAUGUAUUAGAAUAGAGUUUAAGCAUGGGGGUAUUUAUGUAAUUUCACAUAUUAUAAAAGCCCUAAUUCUCUUGUGCAAAAUUGAGUAAAGUCGAUUGACCACUUAUUUAUUCACCGCUCCUUUGCUCGUUAAGUGUGAUCGCUUCUCUUAAAGAUCUUCUACUUCUCUUGGGUGAUGCCCCAAUCUAUAGACAGUUUGUUCCGGAUGUGUAUGAUGUCUUGCUUGAUAAGGACAGGCUAGCAUCCAAGCGUUUGAUUUUUCUUGUUGUCCUGCGGAAUAUUUGGGGGGGAUCAAAAUCGAUGAUGUUUUUGCAACAAACAAGAGCCAUGGGAAGUUGCUUGGAAAUAAAAAGGGAUGUUUUAUAGUGGGUCUCGGAGGGCAAACAUGUUGAUGCAUUUGAUGUCGUAUCUUUGUUUUGGCUUUGAUGAUGUUGCUCUCUUUUGAUGUUUCAUUUAUUGUAUUUUUUAUUUUUUUUUUUCUGCUUGGUUUUCCACCUUGCAGCCUUUUAAUAAAAUUUUCACAUUAUCCUUUAAAUAAUAAUGAGGAGAGGAGAUUCAGGUCAUUGAUUUUGAAGCUUUAGACCAUAUGAUUGGUAAGCAUAGUGUCUUGUUUUAGCAUUUGGUUUUCCAAUACAUCACCACACAAUUACAAGAGUAAGUAAUUACCCAUUUCCAACCAUUUACUGUUGUAAGUGGAAAACCAAACAUGCCGUAAAUUGUUCUGUUAUAGUCUAUUAAUAAACAUCAAUAUGCCUAGUCUUUGUUGUUUGCUCUUAUUUGUAUUUAAACUUAAUUCUUAAUGUUUAGAGGUGCUUUGGUUUUUUUGUUUUUUUGUUUUCAUCACUUAAAUAUAAGAUUUAAAAAAGGGGGUGGGUGGGUAGGUUACAUUUUAACCCUAUUCUCUUCUCUACAACACUUUUUCCUCCCCUCUUUUAUUCUUUUCUCUUCCAUAUUAAUUUUACAUGGCAUAGGAGCGCAUUUACUUAUGAUCUAAUCCACCUUCCACUUUUAUCUCACUACUCUCCUCUUUCUUUUCUUUUUGUCUUUCUUAUCUCUCUGGUGUUGAAAUUCUUUAAGAAACGUAGGGUUUCAUCCUCUUUGGGUGUGCCGGGCCUGCAUAAUGGUCCACAUGUGAGAGGUUGAAUCUGAUAUCUGUGAUCAUCACCUUUCUUGUGUUCGGUUGGAAUGUGUGGAUGUUGAGGCUGAUUUUUCUUGUCAACUGUGGUGUGCACAUUGUGUGAAGCAUGCAAGUUGGGAGUUCUAUCUUGAAAGGUCAGCCUGUAUUCGUGUAAGCAUUGUGGCAUCAUUUUAUUCUUUUAUUCUAUUGCAGAUGAAGAGUGAUCCAGAAUUUGGAUUUAUAAAUUCAUCAGAUUUUCUAGGGGUUUAGAUAGCCUCUAUCAAAUUAAAUGGAGUAAACUAUCUUUAAUGGUCUAAAAUUUAUUCAAGUGUUUUUAAUGGCAAAGGCAAAUUAAAAUAUUUGACCAUGGAAAAAGCCAGAUGAGAGUGAUAGAAUGUAUGAUGAAUG